rnacentral:lncRNA from 1 species
UACUUGAAUCAAGUUUCUAUUGAUUAACUCAUUCAAGCAAACCUCAGCCAUGUCUUUCAUUCUUCGGUCAUCUUGUUCUGGCACAAAACCCUCAGCAGUCCAUAAAAGGAGCAGUUUUCUUGAGGAGAUCACAUAAUCUUCUGGGAAGAGGCUUAAAUGAAGAAAGCACGGUUUCAAGUAAUGGGGCAAGUCGAUGUAGCUCAGGUUUAGCAUUGCCUUUACUCCCAUUUGGCCUUCUUUAGCAAGGUAUGCACUAAUGUUAUCGUGCACCUGCUUCCAUUCUGUAUGUGACGUAUUUCUUGACACCAAACCCCCCAAUACAACGAUGGCCAAUGGCAAACCAUUACAUUUGUCCACCAUCUCUUCCCCAAGUUCCUUCAAAUCUGGAGGAUAGCACUCGGUAUCAGCAUCAAGGAACGCCUUCCUACAAAACAAGUCCCAGCUCUGUUGUUUCGAAAGAAGCCGCAUUUCAUGGGGAAUAGUUCGAGCAUCGGCAUGCAAAGCAACAUCCUUAUAUCGAGUUGUAAGAAGUAAUCUGCUGCCGUUACUCCCAUCGGGAAAAACAUUUCCAAGGCAAUCAGGAUCGUUGCUGCUCACUUUUGCAAGAAAAUCCCAAUCAGCACACCUCCAUACAUCAUCCAGAACUAUCAAAUAUAUCUUUUCUCCUUCAAAUGAUCGUGAAGGAAAUCCCCCAACUCGUUCUCUCCAUACUUCUCUAUCAUUUCUGCUUGCUCUUUAGUUGGUGCAGAAACCUGGUUAAUAAUUUGCAUAUAAACCUCUCUGGGUCCACAAUCUUGGGAUACAUAAAUCCAGGCACGACAAUCUGGAAAGUGUUCCACAAUUUUUUCAUGAUUAUAGACCUUCUUGGCAAGGGUGGUUUUGCCUAUGCCGCCCAUUCCUACCAAAGAAAUCACGCGGCGCCUUUGGUCUCCUGCGGUGAGCUGCUUCACUAGCUUAUCUGCCUCCUCUGUAAGGCCCACGAUGACACGUUCUUCUGCACCAGGAGAGGAGCGUCUUAGAUUCUGCAACAUUGGACCCGAACCGCUUCUUCCUUCUCCAGUAUUUUUUAUUCCGAGAGCCUCCCGCCUAUUUGAGAUGUCUUGGAGGGUCAGUUGGAUGUCUUCAAUUUUCUUGCCAACUUUAUGGCGGUUUAUCAACUUCUUGAAGACACGCUUGAGAAAGUAGUCUGUUCUCAGGGACUAUGCCUUCAGGAUGAACAUGUCUAUGAUGUCCUCAACAUCAUAAAUCGCAUCACGGAUUUCGGAAACCCAGUUGCGCACUCUUAAAUCUUCUUCUUGCUUCUUCUCCGCUUCUUCCAAGAAGCAAAUGUUUUUAAAAACAAUUUUUUAUUAUCCAAACUAAAACAAAACAAAACAAUCAAAUAAUAGAAAGCGUUUUCUAUUCUUAAAAACAAAAAAUAUAAUGUUUUUAAAAGAGCAUUUUUUUACUUAUUUUUAUUUAUUAAUUUUUAAAUAAAUAUUUUAAAAAAUAAUUAUAUAAAUAUAGAGAGUGAUUAAAAAUAAAACAUGACGGAUAAAAUUUAUUUUUAAAAUAUAUUUAAAAAUUUUAAAAAUAUGGUAAGCAUAUUUCAAAUUCUCAAAUAGAUUCGCUUUAUAAAAUAUUAAAGAACAAUAAUUUCUUUCAAAACUAUUAUUAAAAUCACUUUCCAAACAAAAAUUAAAAGUGUAUUUUUUGAAGUCACUUCCCUCAUUUUGAAAAUGUUUGUAUGUGCAUAAGAUAAUCACAAAAUAUUUGCCAUAAAAAAUUUACCAUGGAUGUGAAGUCAUAAUUGUAAAAUAUAUUUUUACUAAAUAUAUGCAAUUGAGGUAAUUAAAAAAAAAAACAUUUCAAACUUAAGAAUAAGUUAAAUAUUUUGACUGAAUACUUAAAUUUAUUUUUAGUUUUAAGUCAUGAUAUUAAGUUAUUUUUUCAAAUUAAUUUGAUUCACCUCACUUGAGUUUUUGACUAAAUACACAAAAUUAUCAUUGGUUUGAAAUUUUAUCAAAUAUUUAAUUUAUCAUUUUCAUUUGUUAUUUUUACUUAUCUUCUCUAUCACUCAAAAUAAGGAAGAUAUCGAAUGAAAUUUCAAACCAAUGAAAUCCAAGUAUAUUUAACUAAAAUCUCAUAAAAGAUGAAUGAAGUUAACCCGUAUUUUACCAAAAUAUACAUAAUCUAUUUAAUAACUUGAAUUAAAUUAUUAAGUCAUUAUCUUGAUUUAUCAUAACCACUCAAUUUGGUUACUAAUUCUUCUUACAGAAAAUUAAAGAAACUGCAACCCUUAAUUUCCAUCGUGAUGCACAGUUUCUUACUCCCCUUGAUGAAUGACAAUCUCUAGGGGAAUGACAAGGAGAAAGUGCCCAUGCAGAUCAAGUUUUCUAGGUUUGACAAAACCAUGUUAUAGAGGAAUGCCAGAGAUGCAUGAGCUGGACUUUAUUUUGAUUAAGUCAUCGCCCAUUAUAUAAUAUGCAGCAACAUCAUUGACUAAUAGUUUUCAACAUCAUUUGGUUGCAUCACGUUCCAAUAAACAAUCAUUCACGUAAUUGAAAUUUAAUAAUUAUUAUUAUCAUCCAUAAUAUAAUAUGCAGCAACAUCAUUAGCUAGUAGUUUUCAAGAUCAUUUGGUUAUUCAUGUUCCCAUAAAUAAUCAUUCAAAUAAUUGAAAACUUAUUAUUAUUAUUAUCAUCAUUCUUAUUAUUAUGCUACAAAGGUGAUAGAAAAAUUGGAAUUUGGGGUCAAAAUGGCCCUUUAUUAAAAAAAAAUUGUAACAUCUAGGCACUUAUUGAAACUUAUGUUCAAAAUGACCUCUUUAGUGACACGUAGGCAUUGUGUCAUUAAAAAAUAUUUUUUUUCAUCAUUUUAGUUGAAGCUGCAGUUGGCAAAUGAGGCUUCAUUUUUGAACUGAAGCCUCAAUUGCCAAAUGAGGCUUCAUUUUUGAACUAAUGAAGCCUCAUUUUCCAACUACGACUUUAGUUCAAAAAUGAAAUCUCAUUUGCCAACUAAGGUUUUAAUUAAUUAUUUUUUAAUUUAAAAUUUAAUUAAAAAAUAUUAAAUUAUAAAUUGAAAUUUUAAAAAUAUACUUAAAUAAUAAAUUAUUUAUACUUAAACUUAAAAAUCUACUAUUACUUCAACAAACAUAAAUUGAUAAAUAGAAGAUAUUAUAUUUAUCUUCUAUGUUCACAUGUUCACAUGGGGGUCCCGAAAGCAUUAGGAUCGAAUGUGAACAUGGAUGAUCCACAAUUUCAUUUAGAAACCCAUAACAAAGUGAUUAUAGGUUGAGCCACAAUUUCUUUAAAUAAUUAAAAUUAUUAACAAUUUAUCUAAUCAAAUUAAUUUUAAGUUAUAAAAUAUUAGCACUUCAUUAUUUUUUAAAAUUUAUUAAUUUAUUAAUAAAUAAAAAUAUUUAUUUAUAAUAUCUUCUAUUUAUCAAUUUAUGUUUGUUGAAGUAAUAGUAGAUUUUUAAGUUUAAAUAUAAAUAAUUUAUUAUUUAAGUAUAUUUUUUAAAUUUCAAUUUAUAAUUUAAUAAUUUUUAAAUAAAUUUUAAAUUUAAAAAAAAAUUAACUAAAGCCUCAGUUGGCAAAUGAGACUUUAUUUUUGAACUGAAGCCGCGGUUGGCAAAUGAGGCUUCAUUUUUAACUGAAACUGCAGUUGGCAAAUGAGGCUUCAGUUCAAAAAUGAGGUCUCAUUUGCCAACUGCGGCUUUAGUUCAAAAAUGAAGUCUCAUUUGCCAAUUGCGACUUCAACUAAAAUGACAAAAAAAAAAAAAAAAAAUUCAAUAACAUGGCACCUACGUGGCACUAAAGAAGCCAUUUUGAACAUAAGUUUCAAUAAGUGCCCAUAUGUUACAAUUUUUUUAAUAAAAGGGUCAUUUUGACCCCAAAUUCGAAAAAUUGCAAAUGAAAGUAUAUUAUUUUCUAUUUUCUAUUUUAUAUUUUAUAUACAUAUAUAUAUAUACCGAAAUAAAAGCCCUUUUUUUUAACUACCAUAUCAUCUUACAAUAAUGAAAAAAGAACCAACUUUAGAUCUAAUUGGUUAAUAUUCACUAGUAAAAUUAAUGAAAUAAAUAUUUUACUUGAAAAAAUUAAGACUUGGGGUUGCAAUUUGGAUGGGUUGAGUAGAUUAGAAGCCAAUCACACCAAGUUUGAUUAUCAAUAUUUUCAAUUAAUACUAAAUCUAACCCAACACCAAGUUUGAUUAUCAAUAUUUUCAAUUAGUACUAGGAGUCUGAUUAAUAGUGAUUCUAAAAAACCACAUAUUGACCUUCUCUUAAUUGAUUGAGUCAUCGAACCCCUAGGUAGCACUUUCCUUUAAUACUAACAUGGAGCUUCCUUUCAUUUUGGGAAUCAAACACCUUUCUUGCGCAAUAAUGUGUUCUUACAUAGCAUUUGGGGAAUUGGAAAAGUUAUGCAGAUUGUUUGAGAUUCCUUAAAUCAAAGGAUGGGAAAAAGUAAUUUAUGUGAAGGGCAGAGAUGCAUGAACUGGACUUAAUUUUGAUGAGCAUUUACCCAUAAUAUAAUAUACAGCAACAUGGCAAUAAAUAAUGUCAUUGCACACCCUGUUGGCAAGAGUAGUUUUGCCGAUGCCCCAAGUCCUGCAUUAAAAACCACCCAUCAUUUUUUCUCUUUGGUUGUGUUGCCUUGCAUUGCAUCUUGUAGAAAGCACUGCAUCCCCUUCAAGAAAACUGUUUUUUGGAAAGAAGUAGCAUCUUCAUCAAGUGUUUCAGUUAGUCAAACUCAACCCAGUGCCAAAAUCCCCUGUUUUUUAACUCUCUAAAUUCCCUGUGUUUUGGUGUCAUUGGGCAAGUAAGCAAUACUUGAAAAAAAGAACCAUGUUCGAAACUAUUCAUUCACAAACACAAAUAGGAGAAUUCUAGUCUUAUAUCCCAAAACAACUACUUACCAUUAUUCGAAACUAUUCAUUCACAAACACAAAUUGUAGUAGGAGUCAUGCUCUGCUUGCAGAGAUCAAACAUAUGCAUCAUAAUCCUUCAGCGUUACAAACAAUGAUAAUUGAAAAAAAAAAAGUCAACAAGCUAGCCUGUCACUUGUCAUACAUCAUGUGAUUUCGGGCUUGAGUAUUUGACAAGUGCUUGCAUGCCUUGGAUGAGUGGUGUAUAAGGGUUUGCAUGGUCUUCAUUUAACCAUGUGUGAUCAGUGGCCAUGAUUCAGCUUCUCUCUAUCUGCGUAAGUUUCUUGACACGUUCUAGGCAGGAAGCUAAAUUUUCAACUGCCUGUCUAGAGGAUUCUAAUGUUUGACCUACUGCAGCACAGGUCAUGAGUAUCACUAACCCAACUUUUAGAAGUAAGCAAGCAUAUAUGUAAUGACCGGGUAUUUUAUGCCACGUUAGCAAUUUUAGUCUAAAAAUUCUUAUUUUGUGUGAUGGUUGAAAAGUCAAAAAGAAAAGUGUUUGGAGAACACAUGUCAAUUUCGGAUUGGUAAAGUUCGUUUUAUUGUGUCGGUCAAUUAAACGAGUUGAAAAUUUUAUGUCAUGUCAGCCUUAGGAUAGAAAAUUCUUAGGAUUUUAGAAAUUGGAAAUUUCCGGGAACGAAAAACAAAAACGAAAAUGAAAAAUAAAUAAAUUAAGAUUAAUUAGAAUUAAUUAAGAAAAAUAAAUUAAUUAAUUAAAUUAAAUUGAUGAAUAAUAAUAUUGAGAAAAUUAGUUUUUAUUUGGUGUUAAUAAAUAAAAUUGUGUGUUAAAAUGAAAAAAAAAUGAAUUGAAAAUUAAAUAAAACAAUUAGAAUAAAAUAAAAGAAAUAAAAUAAAUAUAUUCAAUGGGCUUUGAAUAUGGGUUGUUAAGGUAAUGGGUUGUAAAAGAAAAAAAAUUUAAUGGAGUUGGGCUUAAGUGGCUGGUGGCUUUUAAAAGCCUAGUGGGCUGUUAAUAAAAAGAAAGAAAAAAAUGGGUUGGGCUUUUGAAGUUUGGGCCAGGCUUGUGUGGCUGGAUGGUUAGUAAAAAGAAAAAAAAAAAAAAAAAAAGGAAAAGGGGGAGAAUUGCAGCACGCGGGGGCGGUGAGAGAGAGAGAGGUUACUGUGCAUAAAUUAGGGCACUCGCCGGAAUUUUGAUCGGCCGUUUGGACGGCCAAACGAUCUCUGUUUCGGCCCAAUUCGGAGGAAGUACUCUAUUCGACUAGACGAACAACCCUGCGGUGGCUGAUUUUGUUUUUAACGGCCAAAUUUUCAGAUCUGAGGUAGGGGACCCUAACCCUAAAACUUAAAUUUUUAUGUUUUUUCCUUGAGAAAAAAUUGUAGAUAUUGUCAUUUUGAGUUAAUUAGGAAUUAUAGGUGUUGUAUGAAUUUUUCUAGAAUAUUUGGAAUUUGUUUGGAAUUUUUUGAAUUUCGGGAAAUUGAUUUUGAUUGAUAAUUAAUUGUUUUGAAAUGUAAAAAAAUUAUUAGAUGGGUUGGAAAAUUCCAAAAUUUGGGUUAAAUUUCAAAUAUAAUGAUUUGUGAAAUUUUAGGCAUUGGUUAGAAUAUUUUUGAAAAUUUUAGGGUAAAUAGUUAGUUAAUUUUGGAUAUUAGAAAUUGUUAUAAUGGUUGAAAAAUUUUGUAAGUGUGGUAAAAUCUCAAGAUUUUGAUAUGCAAUUUUUUUUGAAUAUUUAUUUGGGAUAUUAUCGGAAAUUGUAAUGUGUGAAAUUAUUUUUUUGGACUAUUGGGGAAUGUUGAGAUUGUUGAAUUAUUGAGGAACAUUAGAAUUGUGGCAUUCAUUUGCAUCAUGGUUAUGUGAAAAAGAUAAAUAAAUGAAUGAAAUAGAGAUGAGAAGUGGAAGCCCGUGUGGGGCAAAUUAAGAAGGGAGAGAGAUCCCUAGGGUGAAAGACCCAAAAGUUUACCCCGGGAAGACUCCGAAUGGGGAGUGUAUUUGGGUGCGGACGCGUAUCCUUCGGUGAAAGCCCGAGAACAAUAGUGCAUUGUAUGACUGUGUGUCACACGUUCAUGUGCAUUCAUGUAAUUGUUGAAUAUUGUGAAAUUGUGUAUAAUAUCAUAUAUUAAACUAUGUGAUUGAUUGAUAUUGUUGAAUUGUUCCUUUUGUGUUGAAGUGUCCUUUCCGUAUUCUUUGAAACAUAGUAAUCCCCUUAACCCCUUGGGUGCUAGGCACCCUACUGAGCAUUGUGGAAAUGCUCACCCCUUCCUUGUUAUACAUUUUUAGAUGCAGAUAUCUCUCCUGAGGAUCCACAGGUGGGGCAGGGAGAACUUCAGGACACUCUUGGAGCGGCCUAGUGGAGCUUGACAUUUUUUUUAUUAUUGUGUUUCUUUUUGGAUUUUGGGAUUUGUUUUAGUAAUUAUGACUCAUGGGCUUGUUAUGAAGCUUUAUUUUGAUUAAGUUGUUAAUUGUGAACUUUAUUUUGGACUAUAAUGAAUAUUUAUUUAAUCUUGUUGUUUUGAGUAGUUUGGGGAUAUUGAGGUUUAUGAGAAUUCUAGUGGGAUGUAAAAAAAAAAAAAAAAAAUCCAGAGUGUUUUGGUUGACUGCCAACGUGGAAUAGUAGGAACCCUUAGGGUCAAACCUUUGACCUGGGGUCACGGGUCAAAUUUUGGGUCGCCCGGAAUUUGGGUCGUGACAGCGUGGUAUCAGAGCCAAGGUUGCAAUAAUACCUUGGGAUCAAUGUUUGUGGGUGUUUAUGUGUGUCGUGAUGUUAUGAUUUUUGUAUGUGUUAAUUAUCAAGUUGAUGAUUAAUUGAAUUAUGUAUUGAGAGCGUAUGAAAGUGAAAGUUUUGAUAAUUGUUGAAGUUGUUAAGUGUGUAUAUGGGAAAUUUAUUUUUGCUCACCUUGGUAAUGUGGUUGGAUUAGGGUUUGUUAAACUUGAAAUGGUGGGACUGGACAUACCUGAGGAAAGAAGGGUAGGUCUGGCAACAUAUAUGCUUGUGGACAAAGCUGAUUUCUGGUGGGAAUCAAUGAAAAGGGUGUAUGACACUGAGGUUAUGACCUGGGAGGAAUUUGAGAGAAUCUUCCUAGGCAAGUAUUUUGGGGAAGUGGCUAAGCAUGCCAAGAGGAUGGAGUUUGAGCACCUCAUCCAAGGAACCAUGUCAGUGCUGGAGUAUGAGUCACGUUUCUCAGAGUUGUCUCGUUUUGCUUUGGGGAUGAUCAGUGAGGAAGGAGAAAAGGCUAGGAGGUUCCAGUAGGGGUUGAGGCCUGCUAUUAGGAACAGAUUAGUCCCACUGGCAAUAAGAGAUUAUUCUGAGUUGGUUAAGAGGGCUUUGUUGGUGGAGCAGGACAUUGACGAAACCAACCAAAUUCGAGAGCAAAAGGGGGACAAAAAAGGGAAACAAAGAAUGGGGGAAAGUUCCCAGGGGCCACAGCAGAGGUAGAGGACUCAGCAGUUUGAGAGGCGUCCCUCGUUCUAUGCAGGAGAGGGGCAGAUUGCUCAGAGGGUGGCUGCUAAUAGAGUAUGUUAUGGUUGUGGAGCAGGAGACCAUUUAUGGAGGGCUUGCCCAUUGCGAGGCACACAGCAGGCUCGACCUCAGUCUCAGGGAAGUUCUCAGCAACAGUCAGUAGUGUCUUUCCAGCCUCCUCAGUUUCAGUUGCCUUACUAUCAGAUGCCACAAUUACCCCCAGCAGCGCAGGGAACCAGGACAACUACUACGAGUCAGACCCGUUCUUCUCAAGGGUCGAAUGCUAGAGGUAGGGGAAGGCCGGCAGCAGGAAGAGUUUUUGCCUUGACCCCAACAGAGCCAGAUGAGAACGCCCUUUUGGUGGAAGGUAUGAUUUUGGUAUAUAGUACUUGGGUGCGUGUUUUGUUUGAUACUGGUGCAACUCAUUCUUUCAUUUCUGCAUCUUGUGCUAAUGCAUUGGGGUUGAAAUCGGAAAGGGUAGAGAAUUUGUUACUUAUUGAGUCUCCUAUGGGUACGAACUCUAGAGUUGAUAGAAUAUGCAAGGGGUGUGUUAUUACCUUGGCAGAUAGAGCACUAAAUGUGGAUUUGAGGAUUUUGGAUAUGAUUAGGUAUGAUGUUAUUUUGGGAAUGGAUUGGUUGGCAGUGUAUAGAGCGGUUAUUGAUUGUCAUCGCCGCAGGAUAAUAUUUUGUUUGCCAAAGGGAUUUAAGGUUUGUUUUGUUGGAGGGAAGUGUGUUAGUUUGCCUUUUUCGCAGUCCGAUCCGUGCUAUCAGUAUGUGUUGAGGAAGGGAUCAAUAAAUUUCCUAGCUUGCCUUCGUGGUAAGGAGAAAGCCCAGAAGGACAUUACAGAAAUUCCAGUGGUGAGGAAGUUUCAGGAUGUAUUCCCAGAUGAGUUACCAGGUUUACCACCGCAUAGAGAGUUUGAUUUCUCUAUUGAAGUAUACCCAGGAACUGAUCCUAUUUCAGUAUCCCCUUAUAGGAUGGCCCCUCUUGAGUUGAAAGAAUUGAAAACUCAGUUAGAUGAAUUGUUGGGUAAGGGUUUUAUUCGUCCAAGUACAUCGCCAUGGGGAGCCCCAGUGUUGUUUGUGAAGAAGAAUGAUGGUAUACUAAGGUUAUGUAUUGACUAUAGGAAGUUGAAUAGAGUUACUAUGAAGAACAAGUAUCCUCUUCCAAGGAUAGAUGACUUGUUUGAUCAGUUGAAGGGUGCAAAGUAUUUUAGUAAGAUUGACUUGAGAACUGGGUAUCAUCAAUUGAGGGUUAGGGAAGAAGAUGUUUCUAAAACUGCUUUUAGAACGAGAUAUGGGCAUUAUGAGUUCUUAGUCAUGCCUUUUGGGCUAACUAAUGCCCCUGCUGCUUUCAUGGAUUUAAUGAACAGGGUAUUUCGUGCUUACUUGGAUCAGUUUGUGAUUGUCUUUGUGGAUGACAUCUUGAUCUACUCUAGGAGUUUGGAGGAGCAUAAGCAGCAUUUGGUGAUCACCCUUGGAACUUUGAGAAGGCAUCAGUUUUAGCAGUAGACCAUUCAAAGGUGGAAGCUGUACAGGAGUGGCAAAGGCCUACCAAUGUAUUUGAGGUUAGAAGUUUCUUGGGGUUGGCUGGAUAUUAUAGGAGGUUUGUGGAAGACUUCUCUAGAAUUGCAGCACCAAUGACUCGGUUGACUAGAAAAGGGGUGAAGUUUGAUUGGAAUGAGGAGUGUGAGAAUGCUUUCCAAGAGUUGAAGCGGAAAUUGACCACUACUCCAGUGUUAACUGCUCCUAUUAGUGGAGAGUUGUUUACAAUUUAUUGUGAUGCUUCCACAGUGGGGUUAGGGUGUGUGCUAAUGCAGCAAGGCAAGGUGGUAGCUUAUGCCUCAAGACAAUUAAAGCAGCAUGAGCGGAAUUAUCCAGCACAUGAUUUGGAGCUUGCAGCAGUGGUGUUUGCCCUUAAGACUUGGAGACACUAUUUGUAUGGAGAGAAGUUUGAGGUGUACUCUGAUCAUAAGAGUUUGAAAUACAUUUUCACUCAAAAGGAUCUGAACUCUAGGCAGAGGAGAUGGAUGGAGACAUUGGAAGAUUAUGAUUUUGCCCUUCAUUACCAUCCUGAGAAGGCGAAUGUUGUAGCAGAUGCUUUGAGUAGAAAGAGCUAUGGCCAGUUGUCUAGCUUGGGGUUGAGAGAGUUUGAGAUGCAUGCAGUUAUUGAGGACUUUGAGCUAUGUCUUAGUCAGGAAGGACGUGGUUCAUGCUUGUACAGCAUAUCAGCUAGACCAAUGGUUAUCCAGAGAAUAGUGGAGGCCCAAGUUCAUGAUGAGUUUUUAGAAAAGGUUAAAACCCAGUUGGUAGUAGGUGAGAUAGAUGAAAAUUGGUCUAUGUAUGAAGAUGGGAGUGUGAGGUUCAAAGGGAGAUUGUGUGUGCCAAAAGAUGUGGAGUUGAGAAAUGAACUUCUAGCAGAUGCUCAUAGGGCGAAGUAUACCAUCCACCCUGGGAAUACUAAGAUGUAUCAAGACUUAAAGAGACAGUUUUGGUGGAGUAGGAUGAAGAGAGAUAUUGCUCAGUUUGUAGCCAACUGUCAGAUUUGUCAGCAAGUGAAGGCUAAACACCAGAGGCCUGCAGGGUUAUUGCAACCUUUACCUAUACCUGAGUGGAAGUGGGAUAAUAUCACUAUGGACUUUGUGAUAGGGUUGCCAAGAACUAGAAGCAAGAAAAAUGGGGUUUGGGUGAUUGUGGACCAUCUUACUAAGUCAGCUCAUUUUCUAGCCAUGAAAACUACUGAUUCCAUGAACUCUUUGGCUAAGUUGUAUAUACAAGAGAUUGUGAGAUUGCAUGGGAUACCUGUAUCUAUAGUGUCUGAUAGGGACCCUAAGUUUACUUCUCAGUUUUGGCAGAGUUUACAAAGGGCUUUGGGCACCCAACUGAAUUUUAGCACCGCUUUUCACCCUCAGACAGAUGGUCAAUCAGAGAGAGUGAUCCAGAUCUUAGAAGACAUGUUAAGGGCUUGUGUUUUGGAUUUUGGAAGAAAUUGGGCAGAUUACUUACCUUUGGCAGAGUUUGCUUAUAACAACAGUUACCAAUCUAGUAUUGGCAUGGCACCUUAUGAAGCACUCUAUGGGAGACCUUGUAGAUCGCCCUUAUGUUGGAUAGAGAUGGGUGAGAGUCAUUUGUUGGGACCUGAGAUUGUCCAAGAGACUACAAAGAAGAUACAACUCAUCAAGGAAAAACUUAAGACUGCCCAAGAUAGACAGAAAAGUUAUGCAGACAAAAGGAGAAGGCCCUUGGAGUUUGAGGAAGGGGAUUUGGUGUUUGUAAAAGUGUCCCCUCGAAGAGGCAUAUUUCGAUUUGGGAAGAAGAGGAAGUUAGCCCCUAGGUUUGUGGGACCAUUUCAGAUUGAUAAGAGAGUUGGCCCAGUGGCAUACAAGUUAAUUUUGCCUCAACAGUUGUCCCUUGUGCAUGAUGUUUUCCAUGUGUUGAUGCUAAGGAAAUGUACUCCAAAUCCAACUUGGGUAGUGGACUUGCAAGAUGUUCAGAUUAGUGAAGAUACUUCUUAUGUGGAGGAACCUUUACGAAUUCUGGAAGCUGGAGAGCAUAGGUUCAGGAACAAGGUGAUUCCUGCAGUCAAAGUGUGGUGGCAACACCAUGGGAUAGAAGAAGCCACUUGGGAACCUGAGGAAGAAAUGAGACGACAUUAUCCGCAACUCUUCUACGAAUUUAAAGGUAAGCUAGUUUAAAUUUCGGGACAAAAUUUCUUUUAGGGGGGUAGGAUGUAAUGACCGGGUAUUUUAUGCCACGUUAGCAAUUUUAGUCUAAAAAUUCUUAUUUUGUGUGAUGGUUGAAAAGUCAAAAAGAAAAGUGUUUGGAGAACACGUGUCAAUUUCGGAUUGGUAAAGUUCGUUUUAUUGUGUCGGUCAAUUAAACGAGUUGAAAAUUUUAUGCCAUGUCAGCCUUAGGAUAGAAAAUUCUUAGGAUUUUAGAAAUUGGAAAUUUCCGGGAACGAAAAACAAAAACGAAAAUGAAAAAUAAAUAAAUUAAGAUUAAUUAGAAUUAAUUAAGAAAAAUAAAUUAAUUAAUUAAAUUAAAUUGAUGAAUAAUAAUAUUGAGAAAAUUAGUUUUUAUUUGGUGUUAAUAAAUAAAAUUGUGUGUUAAAAUGAAAAAAAAAUGAAUUGAAAAUUAAAUAAAACAAUUAGAAUAAAAUAAAAGAAAUAAAAUAAAUAUAUUCAAUGGGCUUUGAAUAUGGGUUGUUAAGGUAAUGGGUUGUAAAAGAAAAAAAAUUUAAUGGAGUUGGGCUUAAGUGGCUGGUGGCUUUUAAAAGCCUAGUGGGCUGUUAAUAAAAAGAAAGAAAAAAAUGGGUUGGGCUUUUGAAGUUUGGGCCAGGCUUGUGUGGCUGGAUGGUUAGUAAAAAGAAAAAAAAAAAAAAAAGGAAAAGGAGGAGAAUUGCAGCACGCAGGGGCGGUGAGAGAGAGAGAGGUUACUGUGCAUAAAUUAGGGCACUCGCCGGAAUUUUGAUCGGCCGUUUGGACGGCCAAACGAUCUCUGUUUCCGCCCAAAUUCGGAGGAAGUACUCUAUUCGACUAGACGAACAACCCUGCGGUGGCUGAUUUUGUUUUUAACGGCUAAAUUUUCAGAUCUGAGGUAGGGGACCCUAACCCUAAAACUUAAAUUUUUAUGUUUUUCCCUUGAGAAAAAAUUGUAGAUAUUGUCAUUUUGAGUUAAUUAGGAAUUAUAGGUGUUGUAUGAAUUUUUCUAGAAUAUUUGGAAUUUGUUUGGAAUUUUUGGAAUUUCGGGAAAUUGAUUUUGAUUGAUAAUUAAUUGUUUUGAAAUGUAAAAAAAUUAUUAGAUGGGUUGGAAAAUUCCAAAAUUUGGGUUAAAUUUAAAAUAUAAUGAUUUGUGAAUUUUUAGGCAUUGGUUAGAAUAUUUUUGAAAAUUUUAGGGUAAAUAGUUAGUUAAUUUUGGAUAUUAGAAAUUGUUAUAAUGGUUGAAAAAUUUUGUAAGUGUGGUAAAAUCUCAAGAUUUUGAUAUGCAAUUUUUUUUGAAUAUUUAUUUGGGAUAUUAUCGGAAAUUGUAAUGUGUGAAAUUAUUUUUUUGGACUAUUGGGGAAUGUUGAGAUUGUUGAAUUAUUGAGGAACAUUAGAAUUGUGGCAUUCAUUUGCAUCAUGGUUAUGUGAAAAAGAUAAAUAAAUGAAUGAAAUAGAGAUGAGAAGUGGAAGCCCGUGUGGGGCAAAUUAAGAAGGGAGAGAGAUCCCUAGGGUGAAAGACCCAAAAGUUUACCCCGGGAAGACUCCGAAUGGGGAGUGUAUUUGGGUGCGGACGCGUAUCCUUCGGUGAAAGCCCGAGAACAAUAGUGCACUGUAUGAUUGUGUGUCACACGUUCAUGUGCAUUCAUGUAAUUGUUGAAUAUUGUGAAAUUGUGUAUAAUAUCAUAUAUUAAACUAUGUGAUUGAUUGAUAUUGUUGAAUUGUUCCUUUUGUGUUGAAGUGUCCUUUCCGUAUUCUUUGAAACAUAGUAAUCCCCUUAACCCCUUGGGUGCUAGGCACCCUACUGAGCAAUGUGGAAAUGCUCACCCCUUCCUUGUUAUACAUUUUUAGAUGCAGAUAUCUCUCCUGAGGAUCCACAGGUGGGGCAGGGAGAACUUCAGGAUACUCUUGGAGCGGCCUAGUGGAGCUUGACAUUUUUUUAUUAUUGUGUUUCUUUUUGGAUUUUGGGAUUUGUUUUAGUAAUUAUGACUCAUGGGCUUGUUAUGAAGCUUUAUUUUGAUAAAGUUGUUAAUUGUGAACUUUAUUUUGGACUAUAAUGAAUAUUUAUUUAAUCUUGUUGUUUUGAGUAGUUUGGGGAUAUUGAGGUUUAUGAGAAUUCUAGUGGGAUGUAAAAAAAAAAAAAAUCCAGAGUGUUUUGGUUAACUGCCAACGUGGAAUAGUAGGAACCCUUAGGGUCAAACCUUUGAUCUGGGGUCAUGGGUCAAAUUUUGGGUCGCCCGGAAUUUGGGUCGUGACAAUAUAUGUACAAAGUUGUAGCAAGGAUCUCAGCCAUUAGUACACAUUUAUACUGAAACAAAAAUUUCACUAAACUGGCAAUUUUCAAUUGUUUUGUGCGUUUAGAGUAUAAUCAUAAAUAAGAAGUAAUAUACGAUUGUUAAAGAAAUUAUACUCAAAACUAUAGCAGUUAUUAACUUCUCUUUGAUCAAUAGGUGACGUUAUUUAAAUAUUUCACCACCAAAAAAAAUUGUUGAAUCUAAUAUUAGGUUCUGAAGAGAAAGUUCAAUAAAAAAAAUAAAUAAAUAAAUAAAAAAGGAAUCUUGGGCUCCCCUCUGGCAUCAUUAGGGUUAUGCAGAAGAACUAGGAAUGAUACUCGGCCAUCAUUUACUAGGCUGGUUUGAUCGAAAUCACAUCCAAGUAAGGGAACGAAAACAUGCAUACGCCCCCACAAUCAUCUAAGGUAAAAGGGAGUUUCAAGCUUACCUUUUUCACAGUAUAUCCAAAAUCCAGGGAUAUUUUCAUUGUCAAUAAUGCUGAAAAAAAAAUAAAAUUAAAAAAAUAGUUGAAUGAAAAAGAAUAAAAAAAAAUUAAAAAAAAUCCUUCCAAAUGUCAAGAAGAAAAUACAAAAUCCUAACAAGUAUUUCAUUUUCAAGUAUACUAUAAAUUAUAAAAUAAAAAUAGUAUUAGAAAAUGAAGCAUGAGUAAUCAUAUUAACCUUACAAGAUAAUUCAAGAAAUAAGUGACAGUAAUGCUACUACUUUUAUGAGCAAAUUUUAUUACUUUUUUAUGUUUACCACAUUUUUUACAUCCAUUGAUGUAAAAAAAAAAAAAAAAAAAAGGAGAGUGCCAAUGAUAUAUAAAAAAAGUUUUGCUCAAGAGCUCUUUCUUACGUGUUGAGUACUAAAUAAUUAAUGUCUUUGUAUAAUAAGACAGGUUAAUAUCAUUCACUUCUUUUGAGAUUUUGAUUAAAUACAUUUAAUUUUUAUUGGUUUGAAAUUUUAUCAAAUAACUCCCUUAUCAUUUUUAUUAUUUUACUCACUUUUCUUAUCACUCAAAAUAAGGGGGAUAUUUAAUGAAAUUUCAAAUCAAUGAAGAGUCAAAUAUAUUUAAUCAAAACCUUAAGGGAAGAGGGUGAAAUUAACCCUAACAAAAUUGGUAGUUCAAGGGAUUCAAAAUAGAUUGAUGAAUGCAGGUACCUUGUAACAUCCAAGGAAGAAGCUUGUGAGUGGAGAUAACCCCCUUGAUUCUCGAAAACCAUGCCAAUGAAAAAAUAGCUAUAAUCAUAAAGUUUAGCUCUAAUAGAUUUAGAAGCCCCUUAAAUCCCUAUAUCUGCACUUUUGAGAGAAUUUAUAACUGUGUAAGCCAUGACAUCACACUUUGCCCUAUAUUCAAUUUGGUCAAUCUUUUUAACUUCAAAAGUUGAGUACCUUGAGUCAAGAAAACCCAUUUACUAACACUUGCAUUUCCUUUCCAAGGUAUUAGUUUGCCCUUAAUCUAAGAAUCAAUAAUUUUAGAAGUUUCUCCUAAACGAGCAUAGAAUCACAUUCUAGUGAUGAGACUUGGAGGGAAUUGAAGGGCUUCAAGCAAUUUUUGCAUGUGUCCCUUCAUUUCCAACUUAGAGAAAUGGAGCCAAGAGUUCAUAGCAAAUGAUGGAAUGAUAGACCCUUCCGAUGUCCCUUCCGAUGUCUUAAGGAACAAAGGAUUUAAGACAAUGUAGCUUGGCAAUGGAAUUUGAAAACCUAACCUCUUCUAUACCAUAUCUUCCUUCUAAUUUCAACUUCUCAAGACAAGUACUUAACUUGCUUGAAUCAUUUUGGCUCUAUUGCUUGAACCUUAUGCUUAAUAUUGUCUAAAGAUUUUACAGGUAUCAAUUUGCAAUGGGCCAUCAUCCCUUUGCCCCUCUGUAUAAAGAUAUCGCAGGUUUUUCAUUUUCCAUAUCACAUUUCUCACUUAAUUGAGAUUGUUCAUAUCCAAAGUCUUCAAACUCCUUAGGUUGCCUAUAGAUGGUGGAAGCAUUUUUAAACCAAAAUGCCUUAAUCUCAAGUACCUUAAAUGAAUUAGUGUCCCAACUAUACUUAGUAGGCUUUCAAUUUCCGAACCUUCCAAAUCUAGCACCCUAAGCACUUUGAAGCAUUUGCCAAAAUGUACUAGCAAAAAUUAUUACCAAAAAUGAAAAAAAUGGUGAAUGACUUCAAUUUCUGAAUUCCAAGAUAGCAUAUCCCAAAACAAUUAUUUUCCAUUAUAUGAAACUACUCAUUCAUGAUGAACAAAAUUUACUUUUUAUAUUGAUCUCAUAUUUUGAAAAAAUGAAAAAUCACUUUUACAUUAAAAUUGUCAUUUAAAAAGAUGAGUUCAUUUUUUUUACUUUGAAAAGUUAUACAAGAUAAGUUCACUUCUUUACUGUUGAACUUACAUUUUUUUUCUUUUUUUAAAAAAGACAAUUAUAUUAAUGGAUUGAUUUUUAAAAAAAUUAUAUCACCUAGUGCAAAAAGCCCAAACCUACCACUUUCAAACCAAUGACAAUAACACUUUUGCAUGCCAAGCAAAGCCUUCAAAUACGUCAUCCUAAUUGUCCCUUAAUAUACAUAUAAUUGUACAAAAAAAGAUCUCAUAAUUUGAUUCAACAAACUUAUAAGCAAAUUGGUUUUAGUUUAGAUACAAUAUAAAUAUGUUCAACCUUAGUAUGACCAUCACUGAAAGUAGACAUUGCUAACUAUAAUACAUGAGAUUUUAAUAGCAUGGCCUUAUGUUUCCUUUCAAUCACUCUAUCAUGGAAUCAAGCAUGAGGUAGAAGCCCUAGGCAAAUCUGCUGCAACAUAAUCUUCAGGUUAUCGAACAUGUUUGGCAUGCUGAAAUUAUCUAUUUGCAAAUAUCAAACAUACAUUAUAAACAAUGACAAUAGACAAAAAGAGAGCCAACAAGUUUUAGCCUUUCACUUGGCAUACAUCAUGUGAUUUUAGCCACAAGGAUGUCUUAGAUCAUUGAAAAACUUGGCUAAUUUUUCAACUACUUGCCUGGAACUUUCUGUUGUUUAACCUGUUGCAACACAAAUCAAAGUAUCACAUGGCCAACUUUUAGGUACCUAAACUAAACAUCCAUAAAUGUACAAAGUUGUAGCAAGGAUCUCAUAUAUAAUGAAAAAAAUUUCACUAAACUGGCAAUUUUCAUUUUUCAAUUGGUUUAUGCGAUUAGAGUAAAAGCACAAGAAGUAAUAUAUGUUUGUUAGGAAACUAAAAACUAUAGAAGUAAUUGAUUUCUCUUCAAUAAAAGCUGAAGUUAUUUAAUUUGGCAAAAAAAAAAAAAAAAAAAAAAAAAAAAAAAAAAACCUUGCUUUGUUGAAUCUAAUAAUAGGUUCUGAGGUGGGAUUCAUUAGCUAAAGAGAAAUUUAAGUGAAGAUCUUGGAUUUCUCUCUAGCAUCCCUAAUUGUUAUGCAGAAGCAUAAGCAAUUAUACUUGGCCAUAAUUACUACGCUGGCUUGGUAGAAAUCACAUCCAAGUAAGGGAACAAAACAUGCAUUUAUACACCCCAACAAUCAAGCAGGGUAAAAGUGAAUUCCAGACUUCUAGACUUACCUUUUUCGUGAUAAAUUUGAAAUCUAAUCUCACCAUUUAUAGAGAUACUAAAAUGAAUAGAAAAAUCAAACAAAUCAUGUUAGUGGAAUAAAAAGAACAAUAAAAAAUUUGGAAAAAAAAAAUCAUCCUUACAAUGUUGAAGAGAGAUAAUUUGAAUUGUUUUAACUUUCCACUAUAUAUUUAAACUUAAAGUUCUAGUUAGUUCAAAAGCAAUGGAGUAGGGCAGCCAUUUAAUGGUACUGCUAUUUUCGUAGUAUGGGUUUUAUUUUAUUUUUCAAAUAUAUAUUGGUUCUUCACAUGCAUUUAACACCUAUCAAAUGUGCAAGAGUGAUGAAAUUGAAAAAACAUGUGAGAGAAAUAGCGAUGCAUAGUUGUGGACCCGCAUUUUUCAUGUGCGUCCCCACUCAAUCGGAGAGACUCGCUUUUAUUUUGGUGAAAAAUUAGUUUUGGAAAAGUCGGAGUCGCCACUUAUUUUAUUUUAUUUUUAAAAGGGAAAAUAAAACAAGAAAUAAAAUCCUUAAAGAAGUAACUCCAUAGUUUUCGGAAAAACGUGUCUUUGAAAAACCCGAGUCUUGGUUAGGGGAUCAGGUUACCUAUUAGAAAGGUACCUUUAAAAUGUAGCAUCCCUCUAAGCCCUAAAGAGGUCUCUAAUGACUAAGUUGAAGGGAAUGUAACAAUUAAUUAAUUGAUUUAUGGUACCUAGGUAGGCUAGGGUGAUUUCAGAAUUAGCAUGUCAAGUUAGAAAAUCAAAUCAUGGUCAUAAAAAAGAGUCAAAGUGUGUACCUGAACUACUUCGCAAGCACUAUCAUAAAACAUCAAAGUUAGUAUAGAAAUAUAAUACACAACAUGUGUUUUAUCCAAGCAAAUCAAGCAUACUUCUAGGCAUCCAAGGAUUAUAUCAAGCAUGGGUAUAGUCAUCAAUAGUAUACGUGUUCAUAGAAUUCUUGAAAAUAAGUGAGAAGGAGCGUACUUGGAUAGCAAACUAACUUAUAAUGCGCUUCCACAAGACAUGGGGGUUAGAUCAUAGUUAUAAUAAUAAUUAGUAAAGGAAAGAAUCUUAACAUGUUUGGUAUCUAAAUAACAUAGAAAAAAUUAUCAAGAGUAUACAAAACACCAAUUAUCUCAUACAUCUUGUAUACAAUUCCUAAAAAAUAUAUAGAUAGAUAUAAUUACAACAAGUAGUAAAGGUGGCAGCAAAGAUGAGUUUUGAAAAAAUGAUUUUAUAUAGGGGUUUCAACAAUUCCCCAAUUGAUAUACACAAAUUCCAUUUAUUUGAGACCACAAGCUUGGAUUCAUGUCUUACUCAAAACCGUAGUUUUUAUUGAAAACUGAGAAAGAUGCGAACCGAUCAAAACAUGGUUGCAUAUUAUUUAAGAAAAUGAGAUUUUGUUUCUAAGGACUCUAAAUGAAUUUUUUAAAAUAGAUUUUCAAAUGGAUCUUUUGAGAAAAGUGUUUUGUUUUAAAAUAAAAGAAAUAAAUUUGAAAACAAUAAAACAUAAGAAACAAGAUACCAAGCAAGACUAAAGAAAACAAAAUCACAAUGUAAAAAUUUUUUAUAACCAAGCAAACCAAUAUGGUGAGAGUAGGCUCAACCAUCAUGGGUUUCCAAUGGCCUUAAGCAAGAUCACAAGAUACCAAUCAAGAACUAACCACUGAAACUUUAAAAGCAUUUAGAUUUAAGAUAAAUCAAUCAAGAGCCAAUAAAUGAGUUUUAAAAUGAGACUAAUAAUAUGGGAUUAUUACAAAUUGCCAACUAAGUUUCAAAUAAAUAAUAAACAUCGUCGGGAUCAUCAAAACAACAUCUAAUAAUUUAAAGAACAACAUAAACUGGUAUAGACUAUCACAAAUCAAUAACUAACUACUCAGAGACAAACAUAAAUUAACAUAGAUCUUUAAAACCAACAACUAAGGAUUCUGAGAAAAAUGAAAAUCAACAUGGAUCAAUCAAAAUAACAAUUUUUAAUUUUAAGGACAACACAAAUUUAUGGAUCAAUCAAAACCAAAAACUAACAAUUUAAGGAGCAACAUAAAUUAAUAUGAAUAUUCAAAGUUAAUAACAAAUGAUUUUAUGAAAUGCGCACACUAACCUGGGUAUUCAAAAUUAACAACAAAUAAUUUUUUUCUUUUUUUAAAAAAAAGAAUUAAAUUAUUAACUAAAUAGAAAAAUAAAAAAGCAACAAUUAGCUCUUCUCAAUGUGCUUAAUAUUUUUAUUUUUUAAAAUGCUAACACCAAAUACUCAUUACAUGGUUGCAUAUGUUCAGUCCCAUUAACUUUAUUUUAUUCAAGCAUACAUCCAAGCAUUUCUUUACAUGAGUAAUUGUAUUGUUUCCGUUUAUAAAUUUUUAUUUUUUAUUCAAUCAAACUAGGCCUCCAACACCAAGCUAUCCAUGGCAGCACAGAUUGUUUCAAUUCAAGGAUUUUUUUUUCUUUUUUUUUUCUUUUUUAUUCAAACCACUAAGUUAAUAUAUAUCAACAAUUAUGUUCCCUUAUUAUUUUUAUUUUUAUUUUUUAAUUCAAACCACUAUAUCUUAAUAUAUAGUAACAUUUCAUAAUUCUUAACAUUCACAUAGAAAUUCAUCAACUUAUUCAUGAGGGAACAAAUAACCUAAUAAACUAAAAAAAGAAACCUCAAAACUUUUGAACUAAAUAGAAGCAAUCAAAACUAAAUUUAAAGACUUGAAAACACGAAUAUAACCACAUAGGAUUAAUUAAACUAAGAAACAAUUAAAAAUUUUAAAGCACAUAGGCUAAAUGGGAAUAAUUUAAAACUAAACUUAACAACUUGACAACAUGAAUAUAUUGACAUUGGAAUUAAUUAAAUUAAAUAACUACAAUUCUAGAACAACUAUGAAUUGAAACUGAUAUUCAUGAAUCAAAACUUAAAUAAAAAGAAUUAACUUAACUCUUUCACACAAGCAUGGGCCACCCUCCACCAAAAAUUCCAGUAGGAUGUUCAAUAAUGGUGCCAAGGAUGCAUGGUAUGAUGACUUCAAAUGCUCUACACAUUCCCUAAAGCACUGCACGUUAAUGGAGAAAAAUUCCCCUUAACAACUUGUUGCCUCUUGUUGUAUCUAAAGAUCACCCCUUCAGACUCAACAAGAGUAAUCAUAUUAACCUUACAAGAUAAUUCAGGAAAUAAGUGAUAGUAAUGCUACUAAUUUUAUGAGCAAAUUUUAUUACUUUUUUGUGUUUACCACAUUUUUUACAUCCAUUGAUGUAAAAAAAAAAAAAGAGAGAGUGGCCAAUGAUAUAUAAAAAUGUUUUGCUCAAGAGCUCUUUCUUACGUGUUGAGUACUAAAUAAUUAAUAUCUUCGUAUAAUAAGACAAGUUAAUAUCAUUCACUUCUUUUGAGAUUUUGGUUAAAUACAUUUAAUUUUUAUUGGCUUAAAAUUUUAUCAAAUAACUCCCUUAUCCUUUUUAUUAUUUUACUCACUUUUCUUAUCACUCAAAAUAAGGUGGAUAUUUAAUGAAAUUUAAAAUCAAUGAAGAGUCAAACAUAUCUAAUCAAAACUUGAAAGGAAGAGGGUGAAAUUAAUCCUAACAAAAUUGGUAGUUCAAGGAAUUCAAAAUAGAUCGAUGAAUGCAAGUACCUUGUAACAUCCAAGGAAAAAGCUUGUGAGUGGAGAUAACCCCCUUUAUUCUCAAAAACCAUGCCAAUGAAAAAAUAGCUAUAAUCAUAAAGUUUAGCUCUAAUAGAUUUAGAAGCCCCUUAAAUCCCAAUAUCUACACUUUUGAGAGAAUUUGUAACUGUGUAAGCCAUGACAUCGCACCUCGCCCUAUAUUCAAUUUGGUCAAUCUUUUUAACUUCAAAUGUUGAAAUACCUUGAGUCGAGAAAACCCAUUUACUGACACUUGCAUUUCCUUUCCAAGGUAUUAGUUUGCCCUUAAUCUAAGAAUCAAUAAUUUCGAAAGCUUCUCCUAAACAAGCAUAGGAUCACAUUCUAGUGAUGGGACUUGGAGGGAAUUGAAGGGCUUCAGGCAAUUUUUGCAUGUGUCCCUUCAUUUUCAACUUAGAGAUAUAGAGCCAAGAGUUCAUAGCAAAUGAUGGAAUGAUAGAUCCUUCCGAUUUCUUAAGGAACAAAGGAUUUAAGACAAUGUAGCUUGGCAGUGGAGUUUGAAAACCUAACCUCUUCUAUAACAUAUCUUCCUUCUAAUUUCAACUUCUCAAAACAGGUAUUUAACUUGGUUGAAUCAUUUUGGCUCCAUUGCUUGAACCUUAUGCUUAAUAUAGUCUAAAGAUUUUAUAGGGUAUCAAUUUGCAAUGGGGCAUCAUCCCCUUGCCCCUCUAUAUAAAGAUAUCGCAGGUUUUCCAUUUUCCUUAUCAUAUUUGUCACUUCAUUGAGAUUGUUCAUAUCCAAAGUCUUUAAACUCCUUAGGUUGCCUAUAGAUGUUGGAAGCAUUUUUAAACCUGAAUGCCUUAAUCUCAAGUACCUUAAAUGAAUUAGUGUCCCAACUAUACUAGGUAGGCUUUCAAUUUCCAAACCUUCCAAAUCUAGCACCCUAAGCACUUUGAAGCAUAUGCCAAAAUGUACUUGCAAAAAAAUUAUUACCAAAAAUGAAAAAAUGGGUGAAUGACUUCAAUUUCUGAAUGCCAAGAUAGCAUGUCCCAAAACAAUUAUUUGCCAUUAUUUGAAACUACUCAUUCAUGAUGAACAAAAUUUACUUUUUAUAUUGAUCUCGUAUUUUGAAAAAAAAUGCAAAAUCACUUUUGCAUUAAAAAUGCAAAAUCGCCAUUUUCAAAGAUAAGUUCAUUUUUUUUACUUUGAAAAGUUUUAUACAAGAUAAGUUCACUUCUUUACUGUUGAACUUGCAUUUUUAUUUUUAUUUUUGAAAGACAAUUCUAUUAAUGGAUUGAUUUUUAAAAAAAUUAUAUCACCUAGUGCAAAAAGCCCAAACCUACCACUUUCAAACCAAUAACAAUAACACUUUUGCAUGCCAAGCUAAGCCUUCAAAUACAUCAUCCUAAUUGUCACUUAAUAUACAUAUAAUUGUACAAACAAACAUCUAAUAAUUUGAUUCAACAAACUUAUAAGCACAUUGGUUUUAGUUUAGAUACAAUAUAAAUAUGUUCAACCUUAGUCUGACCAUCACUGAAAGUAGACAUUGCUAACUAUAAUACAUGAGAUUUUAAUAGCAUGGCCUUAUGUUUCUUUUCAAUCACUUCAUGGAAUCAAGCACGAGGUGGAAGCCCCUGGCAAAUCUGCUGCAGCAUAAUCUUCAGGUUAUCGAACAUGUUUGGCAUGCUCAAAUUAUCUGUUUGCAAAGAUCAAACAUACAUUAUAAACAAUGACAAUAGAAAAAAAAAAAAAAAAAAGCCAACAAGUUUUAGCCUUUCACUUGUCAUACAUGUUGUCAUUUUUGACCUAACAAUUUCUUGGAUGCCUGAGGACGGCGGCUAAUUUUUCAACUGCUUGUCAGGAGCUUUCUGUUGUUUGACUUGUUGCAACACAGAUCUGAGUAUCACAUGGCCAACUUUUAGGUUCCUAAACUAAACAUGCAUAUAUGUACAAAGUUGUAGCAUGAAUCUAAGCAUUAGUUCAUAUAUAAUGAAAAAAAAAAAUCACUAGACUGGCAAUUUUCAUUUUUCAAUUGAUUUAUGCAUUUAGAGUAAAAUCAUAAGAAGUAAUAUAUGUUUGUUAAGAAACUGAAAACUAUAGAAGUAAUUGAUUUCUCUUCAAUAAAAGCUGAAGUUAUUUAAUUUGGCAAAAAAAAAAAAAAAACUUGUUUUGUUGAAUUUAAUAAUAGGUUUUGAAGUGGGAUUCAUUAGCUAAAGAGAAAUUUCAGUGAAAAGAUCUUGGGCUUCUCUAUGGCAUCACUAAUUGUUAUGCAAAAGAACAAUGAAUAAUGAUUACUACUCAAAAAGUGCUAUUUCAUAGCUUGUAAUUAACUCUUUUAAACACUUUUGAGUAGUAGUUAUUGCCUUUUAACCCAAUUAACAUGUUAAGGACCCUUGCAAUCAUUUCUAAUCAAAUUGUGUAAGUUUUGGUGUUUUUGUUAGUAAUUUGAUCACCAAAACAAUCCAAGAUUGAGGAGAGUUAUUUGGAAUCCAUGGCAAAGCAAUGAAGAGCUCAAAUUCAUGAAGAACCAAGCUUUGGAGCUCCAUAGCCCUUUGCCAAAGUCGUUCAAAGUAUGCAAGGAGAGAAGCAAGGACAGAGGAAAAACAGAGUGAAGAAAACAGAGGAAAGCUAGCUGCAGUCUUCUUUUGCACUUUUGGAGCACUUCCCGAAGUCCAUUUUCUACAUUCUAUAUACCAUUUCAAAGCUCAGGAAGUCAAGAAUCCAAUGCUUCAAAUGGUGCGCGAUUUGGAGUUGAAACAAAGGAGUUACAGCCAUUGCAAGCAGAUCACUCCAAAGUGUUGCGAAAUCAGCCUUUUGUUGCGAGAAUUUCGCAGCCUUUUUGUACAGUGCUAUGGAAUUCCUCCUGAAGCUACCCGAUACAUGCCGCAAGCUGGAACGCUGAGAACCUCAAGGUGGAAGCCAAUUUCACAGCCCUGCGAGUUUAACUUGUUAUUGCGAAAAUAUUUCGCAGCCUUCUUGAGUGCCUGCGAAAUCUCGCAGACACCAUUUUUCACCUGCGAAAUGUUCCUGGAGCUUCCCGAUAUUUUUGCACCGACUCUUUUAGAUCUUUUCUUUAGAUAUUUUUGUAUAAUUUCCAUUUUCUCCUUGUAUUCAACCACUCAUGUAAUUCCUUAGCUAGGAAGUAUCCAAGGAAGGGUAAAUUACCUUCCUAUAUAAACUCUCUUGUAAACACUCUCAGGAGACGCUCGGGGGGAUGUAAUGUAAUCUAAUAUAUAGAAUCAACGAACAGAGCACUUGCUCUGUUUUUCAUAUAUAUUCUUGUUUUCUCGUUAGUUUUCUUUCUAGCCAACCAAACUCUGAGGAUUUUUCCACAGAUGAUGAGAAGCUAAGCUUUUUGUCUCUUGGAGUGAGGAAAGCCGGGUAAGUUUCCACAUGCAUAAUUUGGAAGUUUUGUUGUUUUAGUUUUUAAUGAAGAGAAAGUGUGACCCGUUAAUGGUUUUUAUCUUUUUAAUUAACUUAAAACGCCUUUAAAUCACCUGGGCCAACACUUGGUAAGGCAAGUGAUCUCCGUCCAUGGAGAUUCACUAGUUUACCCCUUGCGAGCCUCUGGGAGGUGACUUCAAGGUAGGAUUUUCUAGAAUAGCCAACACUUGGUAAGCUUUUGGACUCCAAGGAGACAUCCAUUAGUUAUCUCUUGCGAGCUUUUGACGGGUAAUCCAAGGUUAAAGAUCACCUUGAAUGACAAAUGCUAGGUGAGAGGCAUGAGUCAUUGCAAGAUGCAUCAGUGAGAGGGAUUUAGUGUUUGAACCCAUUAAUGGGAAGUAUCUGUACAACACCGGUUAGAGAAUUAACUAUAUGUUAAUUCUCUAAUGCGAGGAAAAGAAACAAGUGACCGGAACUCCCUUUUUGUAUGAGGAAUCUGAGCCUAGUGAUCUGAACUCCAAGAAACAUCUUUUUUUUUGUAAGUAAAAUUUGUUACUAUUUGUGGUUAGUUUAAAACCAAACCUUUUCCAACUCAAGUUUAUGUUUUCUUUUAAAGCUAACCUUGAAAUGAAAAGGCAUCAAUUCAACUUUGAAUUAAUAUCAUUUGUGAAGUGAAAACUCAUCCCAGUGAACGAUCCUAGAGCCACUAUGCUAUAGUAGCUUUGUCUUUGCUACCCUAGUAUAUGGUGUAAUAGGUUAUAAAUUUUGUUGAUUACUCCCUCAAUCAAGGAGCACCAGCUGGACACGAAUCAGCUGAGACACCAAUUGGGCACGAAUCAAAUGGCGCCGUUGCCGAGGAUCGAACCCCGAAUCAGAUGGUGCCAUUGCCACUUCCACUGCUAGGGACGAGUCAAAUAAUACUUCCAUGAAUUACUAGGCUGAAUUGGUAGAAAUCACAUCCACGUAAAGGAACAAAAACAUGCAUUUAUACACCCCAACAAUCAUCCAGGGUAAAAGUGAAUUCUAGACUUCCAGGCUUACCUUUUUUGCGGCAAAUUUGAAAUCUAGUCUCAUAAGUUAUAAAGAGUUUGAAAUGAAUAGAAAAAUCAAACAAAGCAUGUUAGCGGCAUAAAAAAAAAUAAUAAAUUGAAAAAUAAAUCAUCCUUACAAUGUUGAAGAGAGAUAAUUUGAGUUGUUUUAACUUUCCACUAUAUAUUUAAAAUUUAAGUUCUAGUUAGUUCAAAAGAAAAGGAGUUGGGUAACCAUUUAAUGGUACUGCUAUUUUCCUAGUAUGGAUUGAAUAUAUAUAGAAAAAUAUUUGCAUCUAUUUUAUUUUAUUUUUCAAAUAUAUAUUGGUUUUGCACAUGCAUUUAAAACCUAUCAAAUGUACAAAAGUGAUGAAAUUGAAAAAACAUGUGAAAGAAAUAGCGAUGCAUAGGGGUCAAUGUGUCUACAAAGCAAGAUGAAGUACGGUCAUCAGGCCACUAGAUGGAUUCGUUUUAAUAGAAGAAAAUGUUGCUUUCCAAAUUUACAAAAGGAGAAAAUACAGAAUCCUAACAUGUAUUUCAUUUUCAAGUACACUAUAAAUUAAAUAAAAUAAUAUUAAAAAAAUGUAGCAAGAGUAACUAUAUUGGUCUUAUAAGUUAAUUCAAGAAGUGACAAGUAGUAAAAAUUGAUAGUUCAAUGGAUCUAAGUAGAUAGUUGAAUGUAGGUACCUUGUACUAUGCCAAGGAUGAGGUACACUAUUCAAUAAGAGCAACUUCACAAUUCUCAUGUUAAGAAAUGUUCCACCCUUAAUGUUUAGCUCCACUAGAUUUAGCAGCCCAUUAAGUCCUAAGAUAUUCACCUUACCAUGAAUUUGUAAUUGCAUAAGCCAUGGCAUUGCGCCUUGCCCUAUAUUCAACUUGGUCAAUCCUUGUAACUCUAAAAGUUGAAGUACUUUGAGUUGAGGAAAUCCAUUUGCAGAUACAUGCAUUUUCUUUCCAAGAUAUGACUUAGCCCUUAAUCUGAGAGUCAACAAUUUUGGCAGCUUCUCCAAUAUAGGCAUAGGAUCACAACCUAGCCUAGAUGCUUCCAAUGUCAAUUGUGUAAGAUUUGGUGAGAAUUCAACGGUUUCAGGCAAUUUUUGCAUGUGUCCCUUUAUGUCCAACUUAGAGAGAUGGAGGCAAGAGUUUAUGGCAAAAGGUGGAAUGUUGGACUCAUCUGAUGCCUUAAGGUACAAGGAUUUAAGACUAGGUAGCUUGGCAAUGGAGUUCUGAAAACACAGCCCCUUCUACCUCACACCUUUCUUCUAAUUUCAAUUUCUCAAGACAAGUUAAGUUGCUUGAAUCAUUCUUGAUCCAUUGGUUGGAGGUUAUGCCUAAUAGAAUUUGAAGAUCUUGCAAUGUAUCAAUUUGUAGUGGAACAUCUUCCUUUUGACCCUCAAUAUAAAGAUAUCUCAUGUUUUUAAUCUUCAGUAUCACAUUUGGCACUUGUCUAAGAUUAUUUAUCUCCAAAGACUACAAACUCCUUAGGUUGCCUAUAGAUGGUGGAAGCAUUUUUAAACCAUAAUGCAUUAAUCUCAAGUACCUUAAAUGAAUUAGUGUCCCAACUAUACUAGGUAGGCUUUCAAUUUCCCAACCUUCCAAAUCUAGCACCCUAAGUACUUUGAAGCAUCUGCCAAAAUGUACUUGCAAAAAUUAUUACAAAAAAUGAAAAAAUGUGUGAAUGACUUCAAUUUUUGAAGCAUGUCCAAAAACAAUUAUUUGCCAUUAUUUGAAACUACUCAUUCAUGACGAACAAAAUUUAUAUCUGUAUUGGGAAUAGUAAUUGAUUUUCAUAUGCCCUAUACUAAAAUUUAUAAGCAAUAUCGCCAGAAAAUUAUUUAAAUUGGCACCACCAUGGUUAUUUAGAUCCCAAACCUACCAAUUUUUUUUAAAUGUAUAUAUAUAUAUAUUAUUCAAAAUUAUUAUUUAAAAAAUAAAUAUAAAAAUAGUCUUUUUAUCAUUUUUUUUUUUUUUGCAUCAAAUUUGUUUCUUUAAAACAAAUUUACUUUUUAUAUUGAUCUUGUAUUUUGAAAAAAUGAAAAAUCACUUUUACAUUAAAGUUGUUUUUUAAAAAUUUAAGUUCUUUUUUUUUACAUUGAAAAGUUUUAUACAAGAUAAGUUCACUUCUUUACUGCUGAACUUGCAUUUUAUUUUUUAUUUUUUGAAAGACAGUUCUAUUAAUGGGUUGAUUUUUAAAAAAAUUAUAUCACCUAGUGCAAAAAGCCCAAACCUACCACUUUUAAACCAAUAAGAAUAACACUUUUGCAGGCCAUGCAUAGCCAUCAAAUACAUCAUCCUAAUUGUCAGUUAAUAUACAUAUAAUUAUACAAACAAACAUCUAAUAAUCUGGUUCAACAAAUUUAAAAGCACACUGGUCUUAGUUUAAUUUAGAUACAAUAUAAAUAUUGUCCAAGCUUAGCAUGACCAUUAUUGAAAGUAGACAUUGCUAACUAUAAUACAUGAGAUUUUAAUUGCAUGGCCUUAUGUUUCCUUUCAAUGACUCCAGCAUGAAUGUAGAAGCUCCUGGCAAUUCUGCUGCAGCAUAAUCUUCAGGUUAUCGGACAUGUUUGGCAUGCUCAGAUUAUCUGUUUGCAAAGACCAAACAUACAUUAAUGAUAAUAGACAAAAAGAGAGCCAACAAGUUUUAGCAUUUCACUAGUCAUACAUGUUGUCAUUUUGGGCAUGAGGAUUUCUUCAAUAUAUAAGAAAGGUGGCUAAUUCUUCAACUGCUUGCCUAGAGCUUUCUGGUGUUUGACCUGUUGCAACACACGUCUGAGUAUCACAUGGCCAAAUUUUAGGUACCUAAACUAAACAUGAAUAUAUGUACAAAGUUGUAGCAAGGACCUCAACAUUAAUUCAUAUAUAUAUAAUGAAAAAAAAAUUGCCAAACUGGCAAUUUUCAUUUUUCUAUUGUUUUAUGUAUUUAGAGUAAAAUUGUAAGAAGUAAUAUAUGAUUGUUAAGAAACCAAAAACUAUAGGAGUAAUUAAUUUCUCUUCAAUAAAUAGAUGAAGUUAUUUAAUUUGGCAAAAAAAAAAAUUGUUUUGUUGAAUCUAAUAAUAGGUUCUGAAGUGGGGUUCAUUAGCUAAAGAAAAAUUCCAGUGAAAAGAUCUUGGGCUUCUCUCUGCCAUCAAUAAUUGUUAUGCAAAAGAACAAGGAAUAAUACUUGGCCAUGAAUUACUAGGCUGGCUUGGUAGAAAUCACAUCCAAGUAAAGGAACAAAAACAUGCAUUUAUGUAUUCACCGCACCAAUCGCCUAGGGUAAAAGUGAAUUCUAGGCCUUCAGGCUUACCUUUUUUACGGUACAAGUGAAAUCCAAUCUCAUCAUUUAUAUUGAUCCUGAAAUGAAUAGAAAAAUCAAACAAAGCAUGUUAGUGGAAUAAAAAAAAAAACAAUAAAAAGAAAAAGAAAAUCGUCCUUACAAUGUUGAAGAGAUAUAAUUUAUGUUCUUUUAACUUUCCACUGUAUAUUUAAAAUUAAAGUUCAAAUUAGUUCGAAAGUAAUGGAGUUGAGUAACCAUUAAUGUUACUACUAUUUUCCUAAUAUGGAUUGAAUAUAGAAAAAUAUUUGCAUUUGUUUUGUUUUUUCUUUUUCAAAUAUAUAUUGGUUCUAUACAUGCAUCUAAAACCUAUCAAAUGUGCAAAAGUGAUUAAAUUGAAAAACAUGUGAGAGAAAUAACAAUGCAUAGGGCUCAACGUGUCUACAAAGACAGGUGGAGUAUGGUCAUCAGGCCACUAGAUGGAUUCGUUUGAUAAAAGAAAAGGUUGCUUUCCAAAUUUAUGGAAAGAGAAAAUGUAGAAUCCUAACAUGUAUUUCAUUUUCAAGUAUGUUAUAAAUUAAAUUAAACAACAUUAAAAAAAAUGUAGCAAAAGUAAUUAUAUUGGUCUUAUAAGUUAAUUCAAGAAGUAAGUGACAAGUAGUAAAAAUUGGUAGUUCAAGGGAUCUAGAGUAAAUAGAUUAAUGUAGGUACCAUGUAAAAUCCCAAGGAAGUAGUUUGCCAGUGGAGAUAGCUAACCAGAUUUUGUGAGCCAAUUUCAUACUCAAUCAUCAAAAAUGAUAUUUAGAUCCACUAGAUUUAGGAGUCCACUAAAUCGUAAGAUUUUCACUCGUUGAUGAAUUUCUAAUUGCAUAAGCCAUGACAUUGCAUUUUGCCCUAUAUUCAACUUGGUCAAUCUUGUUAACUCUGAAAGUUGAAGUACUUUGAGUUGAGGAAACCCAUUUGCAAACACUUCCAUUUUCUUUCCAAGGUAUGAGUUUAUCCUUAAUCUAAGAAUCAACAAGUUUGGCUGCUUCUCUAAAACAGGCAUAGGAUCACAAUCUAGCCUAGAUGCUUCCAAUGUCAAUUGUGUGAGACUUGGUGAGAAUUCAACAGUUUCAAGCAAUUUUUGCAUGUGUCUCUUUAUGUCCAACUUAGAGAGAUGGAGGCAAGAGUUCAUGGCAAGGGAUGGAACGUAGGACUCAUCUGAUGCCUUGAGGUACAAGGAUUUAAGACUACAUAACUUGGCAAUGGAGUUUGAAAACUUAACCCCUUCUACCUCACACUUUCCUUAUAAUUUCAAUCUCUCAAGACAAGUUAACUUGCUUGAAUUAUUCUGGAUCCAUUGGUUGAAGGUUAUGCCUGAUAGAAUUUGAAGAUUUUGCAACGUAUCAAUUUGCAAUGGAACAUCUUCCUCUUGCCCCUCAAUGUAAAGAUGUCUCAUGUUUUUAAUCUUCCAUAUCACAUUUAGCACUUGUUUAAGAUUGUUUAUAUCCAAAGUCUGCAAACUCCUUAGGUUACCUAUAAAUGGUUGGAAGCCUUUUUAGACCAAUAUGCCUUAAUCCCAGGUACCUUAAAUGAAACAGUUCCCCAAUUAUACUUGGUAGGCAUUCAAUUUCUAAACCUUCCAAAUCUAACACUCUAAGCACUUUGCAGCAUUUGGCAAUGAAAUCUUCCAUAUCUCAUGUUUUUAAUCUUCCAAAUCAGUUCCUCUUUCCAUGUAAAGAUAUCUCAUGUUUUUUAUCUUCCAUAUCACAUUUGGCACUUGUUUAAGAUUGUUUAUAUCCAAAGUCUGCAAACUCCUUAGGUUGCCUAUAAAUGGUGGAAGCAUUUUUAGACCAGUAUGCCUUAAUCCCAGGUACCUUAAAUGAAUUAAUUUCCCAAUUAUAGUUGGCAGGCAUUCAAUUUCUAAACCUUCCAAAUCCAACACUCUAAGCACUUUGAAGCAUUUGGCAAUGAAAUCUAGUUGCGAUGCUUUACAAUUUUUCCCCAAAUUGAAAAAUAAGAGAGAGCAAAGAUAUGGAGUUAAAUUUUCAAUGGAAGCAUACCUCUCAAUGUCAGAAUAAAUACUUCGUCAACGGGAUUUAGAUGAAAAGAGAGAUAAACUUAUGGGAUUUAGAUCCAAAGAAAGAUAAACUGGUGGAGGAGAAUAGAGGAUCUAUGAUGAAGUUUUGCUCUUUUGCCUUUUUAAUGGCCAACUCUCAUACAAGGUCAUGAACCUGACAUUCCGUGACCCUUGCAUUAACACUCUUUCUCACUACUUGAAUCAAAUUUCUAUUGAUUAACUCAUUCAAGUAAACCUCAGCCAUGUCUUUCAUUCUUCGGUCAUCUUGUUAUGGCACAAAACCCUCAACAGUCCAUAAAAAGAGCAGUUUUCUGGAGGAGAUCACAUAAUCUUCAGGGAAGAGGCUUAAAUGAAGAAAGCACGGUUUCAAGUAAUGGGGCAAGUCGAUGUAGCUGAGGUUUAGCAUUGCCAUUACUCCCAUUUGGCCUUCUUUAGCAAGGUAUGCACUAAUGUUAUCGUGCACCUACUUCCAUUCUGUAUGUGACAUAUUUCUUUACAGCAAACCCCCCAAUACAACGAUGGACAAGCAGAGCUCUCUGUUCAGUGAAUGGAGUUCAUGUUCUGGAUAGAAUGGGCAAUUCACUUUUUUGAAGAGAUAAAUUCACUUUUUUACAUUGAAAAGUUUUAUACUAAACUCAUUUUCCAAAGGUUAAGUCCACUUCUUUACCGGUGAACUUGUAUUUUUCAUUUUUAUACUAAUUACUUUUUUUAGAAGACAAAUUCUAUUAAUGGAUUGAUUUUUUUAAAAAUAAUAUCACCCUGCAAAAAGCCCAAACCUACCACUUUCAAACCAAUAACAAUAACACUUUUGCAUGCCAAGCAAAGCCUUCAAAUACAUCAUCCUAAUUGUCACUUAAUACACAUAUAAUUGUACAAACAAACAUCUAAUAAUUUGAUUCAACAAACUUAUAAGCACAUUGGUUUUAGUUUAGAUACAAUAUAAAUAUGUUCAACCUUGGUAUGACCAUCACUGAAAGUAGACAUUGCUAACUAUAAUACAUGAGAUUUUAAUAGCAUGGCAUUAUGUUUCCUUUCAAUCACUCCAUUAUGGAAUCAAGCAUGAGGUAGAAGCCCCUGGCAAAUCUACGGCAGUAUAAUCUUUCGGUCAUCGAAUCUGUUUGCAAAGAUCAAACAUACAUUAUAAACAAUGACAAUAGACAAAAAAAAAAAAAAAAAAUAGCCAAAAAGUUUUAACCUUUCACUUGUCAUACAUGUAAUUUCGGUCAAGAAGACUUCUUAGAAUGUUGAGAAAGUUGGCUAAUAUUUCAACUGCUUUCCUAGAGCUUUCUGCUGUUUGACUUGUUGCAACACAAAUCUGAGUAUCACAUGGCCAACUUUUAGGUACCUAAACUAAACAUGCAUAUAUGUACAAAGUUGUAGCAAGGAUCUCAGCAUUAGUUCAUAUAUAAUGAAAAAAAUUUCACCAGACUGGCAAUUUCAUUUUUCAAUUGGUUUAUGCGUUUAGAGUAAAAUCAUAAGAAGUAAUAUAGAUUUGUUAAGAAACUGAAAACUAUAGAAGUAAUUGAUUUCUCUUCAAUAAAAGCUGAAGUUAUUUAAUUUGACAAAAAAAAAAACUUGUUUUGUUGAAUCUAAUAAUAGGUUCUGAAGUGGGAUUCAUUAGCUAAAUAGAAAUUUCAGUGAAAAGAUCUUGGCUUCUCUCUGGCGUCACUAAUUGUUAUGCAGAAGAAUAAGGAAUAAUACUUGGCCAUGAAUUACUAGGCUGGCUUGGUAGAAAUCACAUUCAAGUAAAGGAACAAAACAUGCAUUUAUACACCCCAACAAUAAUCCAGGGUAAAAGUGAAUUCCAAACUUCCAGGCAUACCUUUUUCGCGGUAAAAUUGACCUCCAAUCUCACCAUUUAUAAAGAUUCUGAAAUGAAUAGAAAAAUCAAACAAAGCAUGUUAGCGGAAUAAAAAGAACAAUAAAAAAAUUUAAAAAAAAAAUCAUCCUUACAAUGUUGAAGAGAGAUAAUUUGAGUUGUUUUAACUUUCCACUGUAUAUUUAAAAUUAAAGUUCUAGUUUGUUCAAAAGCAAUGGAGUUGGGUAACCAUUUAAUGGUACUGCUAUUAUCCUAGUAUGAAUUGAAUAUAUAUAGAAAAAUAUUUGCAUCUGUUUUAUUUUUUUUUCAAAUAUAUAAUUGUUCUGCACAUGCAUUUAAAACCUAUCAAAUGUGCAAAAGUGAUGAAAUUGAAAAACAUGUGAGAAAUAGCGAUGCAUAGGGCUCAAUGUGUCUACAAAGAAAGAUGAAGUAUGGUCAUCAGGCCACUAGAUGGAUUUGUUUUAAUAGAAGAAAAGGUUACUUUCCAAAUUUAUAAAAAGAGAAAAUACAGAAUCCUAACAUGUAUUUCAUUUUCAAGUACGCUAUAAAUUAAAUAAAAUAAUAUUAAAAAUAUAGAAAGAGUAAUUAUAUUGGUCUUAUAAGUUAAUUCAAGAAGUGACGAGUAGUAAAAAUUGAUAGUUCAAGGGAUCUAAGUAGAUAGAUGAAUUUAGGUACCUUCUUUGAUGCCAAGGAUGAGGUGCCAAUCUGGCCAGAAGCCAUACAUCAUAAUAGGAAAUGGUUGACCUAUAAUGUUUAGCUCCACUAGCUUUAGAAGCCCAAUAAAUCCUAAGAUAUUCACUCGUUUAUGAAUUUGCAAUUGCUUAAGCCAUGGCAUUGCGCCUUUCCCUAUAUUCAACUCAGUCAAUCCUUGUAACUCUGAAAGUUGAAGUACUUUGAGUUGAGGAAACCCAUUUGCAGACACUUGCAUUUUCAUUCCAAGGUGUGCGUUUGCCCUUAAUCUAAGAAUCAACAAUUUUGGUUGCUUCUCUAAAACAGGCAUAGGAUCACAACCUAGCCUAGAUGCUUCCAAUGUCAAUUGUGUAAGAUUUGGUGAGAAUUCAACGGUUUCAAGCAAUUUUUGCAUGUGUCCCUUUAUGUCCAACUUAGAAAGAUGGAGGCAAGAGUUUAUGGCAAGGGGUGGAAUGCUCAACUCAUCUGAUGCCUUAAGGUACAAGGAUUUAAGACUAGGUAGCUUGGAAAUGGAGUUUGAAAACACAGCCCCUUCUACCUCACACUUUCCUUCUAAUUUCAAUUUCUCAAGACAAGUUAAGUUGCUUGAAUCGUUCUUGAUCCAUUGGUUGAAGGUUAUGCCUGAUAGAAUUUGAAGAUUUUGCAACGUAUGAAUUUGCAGUGGAACAUCUUCCUCUUGCCCCUCCAUGUAAAGAUAUCUCAUGUUCUUAAUCUUCCGUAUCACAUUUGACACUUGUCUAAGAUUGUUUAUCUCCAAAGUCUGAAAACUCCUUAGGUUGCCUAUAGAUGGUGGAAGCAUUUUUAGACCAGUAUGCCUUAAUCCCAAGUACCUUAAAUGAAUCAGUUCCCCAAUCAUACUAGGUAGGCAUUCAAUUUUUAAACCUUCCAAAUCUAACACUCUAAGCACUUUGAAGCAUUUGGCAAUGAAAUCUAGUUGUGAUGCUCUACAAUUUUUCCCCAAAUUGAAAAAUAAAAGAGAUCGAAGAUAUGGAGUUAAAUGUUCAAUGGAAGCGCACCUCUCAAAGUCAGAAUAAAUACUUCGUCGACGGGAUUUAGAUGAAAAGAGAGAUGAACUGGUGGAGGAGGGUGGAGGAUCUGCAAUAUUAGUUCCAAUGAAGUUUUGUUCUUUUGCCUUUUCAAUAGCCAACUCUCGUACAAGGUCAUGAACCCGACAUUCCAUAACCUUUGCGUUAACACUCAUUCUCACUACUUGAAUCCAUUUUCUAUUGAUUAACUCAUUCAAGUAAACCUCAGCCACAUAUUUCAUUCUUUGGUCAUCUUGUUCAAGCACAAAACCCUCAGCAGUCCAUAAAAGGAGCAGUUUUCUUGAGGAGAUCACAUAAUCUUCUGGGAAGAGGCUUAAAUGAAGAAAGCACGGUUUCAAGUAAUGGGGCAAGUCGAUGUAGCUCAGGUUUAGCAUUGCCAUUACUCCCAUUUCGCCUUCUUUAGCAAGGUAUGCACUAAUGUUAUCGUGCACCUGCUUCCAUUCUGUAUGUGACAUAUUUCUUGACAACAAACCCCUCAAUACAACGAUGGCCAAUGGCAAACCUUUACAUUUGUCCACCAUCUCUUCCCCAAGUUCCUUCAAAUCUGGAGGAUACCUCUCUCUAUCAGCAUCAAGGAACACCUUUCGACAAAACAAGUCCCAGCUCUAUUGUUUCGAAAGAAGCCGCAUUUCAUAGGGAAUAGUUCGAGCAUCUACAUGCAAAGCAACAUCCUUAUAUCGAGUUGUAAGAAGUAAUCUGCUAUCGUUACUCCCAUCGAGAAAAACAUUUCCAAGGCAAUUAGGAUCGUUACUGCUCACUAUUGCAAGAAAAUCCCAAUCGGCACAGCUCCAUACACCAUCCAGAACUAUCAAAUAUCUUUUCUCCUUCAAAUCAUCAUGAAGGAAAUCCCCCAACUCAUUCUCUCCAUACUUCUCUAUCAUUUCUGCUUGCUCUUUAGUUAGUCCAGAAACCUAGUUAAUAAUUUGCAUAUAAACCUCUCUAGGUCUACAAUCUUGGGAUACAUAAAUCCAGGCACGAUAAUUUGGAAAGUGUUCCACAAUUUUUUUCAUGAUUAUAGACCUUUUUGGCAAGGGUGGUUUUGCCUAUGCCGCCCAUUCCUACCAAAGAAAUCACGCGGUGCCUUUGGUCUCCUACGAUGAGCUGCAUCACUAGCUUAUCUGCCUCCUCUGUAAGGCUCACAAUGACACGUUCUUCUACACGAGGAGAGGAGCGUCUUAGAUGUUGGGCUUUGUGGAGCCUAGUUUUGUUUGAUCCGGUUUGACGACUUGACCCGAACAAUAUUGCAUGGUUUUUUAAUGGGAGAUUUACUGAGGCUUAGUCUAUGGAGCGAAGGCUUGAGCCGAUAGGCCCGUUUAGCCAAUUGUGGAACCGCCUUUUGUAAUUAGGAUUUUUUUAGUGUGGUGUGGUUGCUGUUUUAUAUAUAGAGAGAAAAAUAUUGUAGCCGAUAGUUGUACUAUGUAUUCUUCCCUGAUAAUAAUGAUAUCUCUACAACUCCGUGGACGUAGGCAAAUUGCCGAAUCACGUAAAUACUGUCUUGUGCGUGUGAUUGUUUUUCUUUGGCGUGUGUUUUCUCUAUUUUUUGUUUCUCACAGGUUGGGAAUUCGACUUAAUUCCCUUCAACUGGUAUCAAAGCCUAAGGUUAGGUUUGAGUGAGAGCAAUGGUAGAGGAAGCAGGAAAGGCGUCUGGAAUAGAAAAGUUUGAUGGCACAGACUUUGCGUAUUGAAGGAUGCAGAUUGAAGAUUAUCUCUAUGGGAGGAAAUUGCAUCUACCUCUUUUAUAGACAAAACCUGAGAGUAUGAAGGCUGAGGAAUGGACGCCUCUUGACAGACAGGUUCUAGGAGUUAUUAGGUUAACUUUGUCUAGGUCUGUUGCACACAAUGUUGUAAAGGAGAAGACCACAGCAGAUAUGAUGAAGGCUUUGUCCGGUAUGUAUGAAAAGUCGUCCGCAAACAAUAAGGUGCAUUUGAUGAAGAAAUUGUUCAAUUUGAAGAUGGCAGAGAAUGCAUCAGUAGCACAACAUCUAAAUGAAUUUAAUACAAUCACAAAUCAAUUGUCGUCUGUAAAAAUUGAUUUUGAUUAUGAGAUUCGUGCUCUGAUCGUCUUGGCUUCUUUGCCAAACAGUUGGGAGGCAAUGAGGAUGGCAAUAAGCAAUUCUACAAGAAAAGAAAAGCUCAAGUACAAUGAUAUACGAGAUUUAAUUCUGGCUAAGGAGAUUCGCCGAAGAGAUGCAGGUGAAACCUCAUGAUUUGGUUCUACCCUAAACCUUGAGACAAGAGGCAGAGGUAAUGACAGAAAUUCAAACCAGGGUAGAUGAAAAUCCAGAAAUUCUAAUCGAAACAGAAGCAAAUCUAGAUCAGGCCAACAAGUACAAUGCUAUAACUAUAGGAAAAUAGGUCACUUUAUAAGGCAAUGCAAAAGUCCUAAGAAGAAGAAUGAAGAAGAUUCUGCUAAUGUUGUAACAGAAAAGGUACAAGAUGCAUUACUUCUUGCAGUAGACAGUCCACUUGAUGAUUGGGUUUUGGAUUCAGGAGCUUUGUUUCAUACCACUCCACACCGAGAAAUCAUACAGAAUUAUGUUGUAGGUGAUUUUGGUAAGGAGAUGAUUUGGCUACAUGGUUUCUUAGAUGAAUUGGGUAAGAAGCAGGAGAUGGGCAUUCUACACAGUGACAGUCAAAGUGCAAUUUUUCUUGCUAAAAAUUCGACUUUUCAUUCAAAAUAGAAGCAUAUACAAACAAAAUACCACUUUAUCUGUUACCUUGUUGAAGAUAAACCGGUAAUACUUGAGAAGAUUUGUGGAUCUAAGAACCCGGCAGACAUGUUGACUAAGGGUGUCACUAUUGAGAAGUUGAAGUUGUGCGCAGCUUCAAUUGGUCUUCUAGCUUGAGGACAUGAGGAUGAGUUGCAGGGAUGAGGGAUUGUCUCUUGGAGGAUAGCGGUUUGAUGUUGGUGAUUAAACUAGUCUCUAAGUGGGAGAUUUGUUGGGCUUUGUGGAGCCUAAUUUUGUUUGAUCUGGUUUGACGACCCUACCCGAAUAAUAUUGCGUGGUUUUUUAAUGGGAGAUUUACUGAGGCUUAGUCUAUGGAGUGAAGGCUUGGGCCGAUAAGCCCAUUUAGCCCAUUGUGGAACCGCCUUUUGUAAUUAGGAUUUUUUAGUGUGGUGUGGUUGUUGUGUUAUAUAUAGAGAGAAAAAUAUUGUAGCCGAGAGUUAUACUCUGUAUUCUUCCCUGAUAAUAGUGAUAUCCCUGCAACUCCGUGGACGUAGGCAAAUUAUCAAACCACGUAAAUACUGUCUUGUGCGUGUGAUUGUUUUUCUUUGGCUUGUGUUUUCUCUAUUUUUUGUUUCUCACAGGUUGGGAAUUCGACUUAAUUCCCUUUAUUAGAUACUGCAACAUUUGACCCGAACCGCUUGUUCCUUCUCCAAUAUUUUUUAUUCCCAGAGCCUCCCGCCUAUUUGAGAUGUCUUGGAGGUUGAGUUGGAUGGCUUCAAUUUUCUUGCCAACCUUAUGGCGGUUUAUCAACUUCUUGAAGACACGCUUGAGAAAGUAAUCUGUUCUCCGGGACUCUGCCUUCAGGAUGAACAUGUCUAUGAUGUCCUCAACAUCAUAAACCGCAUCACGGAUUUUAGAAACCCACUUGUGCACUCUUAAAUCUUCUUCUUGCUUCUUCUCCGCUUCUUCCAAGAAGCAUUUCAUGGCCCCUAGAUCUUUGUUCAGCCUCUCGACUUUCCCCCGUACCCCCUUCAAGAAAAUUGCUUCUUGAAUGAGCAUGUCACCGAUCCUUUCGACAGCAAAGGAAAUCACAGCCUCUGUCGCCAUUGUAAUGCUCGCCCGCACACCCUCCUUGAAUUGAACUGAUACACUCAACAAGGAGCUACUCAGCUUACUUGAAAGUUUUUGUGCUCAAACCGAAGGUCAUGACACUUUCCUUUAAUACAAACAUUGUGGGGUUCCUUUCUUGUCUUGGAAUCAAACACCUUGCUUGCGCAACUAGUCGGAUUUGCUUGCCAUUGAUAUCAAGCCUAGAGGUAUACCUUACCUUUUGCAAAAGAAAAAGUAGGCCUGGAGAAGAGAACGUCUGCUUGAGUUUAAGCACAUGAUACUCUAGAAAACUUGGCAUCAAAGGGUGCUGAAGAAGGGAAUCCCUGUAAUCCGUCAACAUUCAUCAGCACAAGUUUCUUUGGAUUCCAUUCAGCUGUAUGGACCUUUACGCAUCCUUAGAGAAAAAGGGAAUCCCUUAAACCCAUUACCAAUUUGAAUUAUCAAUAACUGAACCAUGAUAUGCGAUAACACAGAAAAUAAUUAAAAGCUUAACAUCAAUACAAGAUUAUGAAUUUCAAAUUCUUCACCACAGGCUCCUUAAUCUAGAAAAUGCACUGUGCCAUUAAAAUGACUUAAACUGGUCUGGUUUCCACCACAAGAAGUUUUGAACUCAUUAAAAAUGAAUAAAUCCUUCUGGGAGGCAAAAAAACUGGAAAAUGAUCAAAAUCCCAACUUAACUAGCUGGCUCAUAGCUUGAUUGUAUUAUGCUUGAAACUGAAGGAACUCCUCUCGGCCCUUUAUUUUCUUUCAGUGCAAAAACCAGUAUGAGUGAUCAAGCAGCAACUUUCUUGGAUGUUACAGAAUUGACAAUCACAGCAAAUUCAGGACCCUGCACCACCGAAUACUAAGUUGUAAUCAUCAACUCCAAAAAGAAACAUUAAUAUCUUUAUCGAAACUGCUGGGGAAACCAAAUUGUGCCACUUAAUAGCCUCACUAACAGUCAGAUGAUAUUAUAAUUUUUCAUAGAAUGUGAGACAUUUAGGCCCUGUUUAUUUAGACUGCUAUCUGUUUUCACUUUCAGAGAAAACAUGUUCGGAAUGCAUUUUUCCAUUUUCAUUUUCUGGAAAACUGAACUCAAAAAAUAGAAAAAGCCAAAACACCAAUUUGAAUUUUUCAAUUUUUUUCUCAAGAAAACCGAACAAAAAAAAAUUGAAAACAAAAAAAGAAAUAAAAUCACAUAAACCUAGUGACACCUACAACAUAAGAGGAAUACAAAUAUUACAAAUAGGGAAAAAAACAACCUUAGAUUGUGAUUGUUUUCAAGGGUAGAUCUAAUGUUUCCAACUAGGACUUCCAAGUCCAAAUGUAAUCAUAAAUACCCCAAUAUAUAUUUUUUUGACUAUAUCACAAGGCAGAUUUAGCAUCCCAAGAAUCUUCCGCACAAACAAAAAAGGGAAAAAAGUAAGAAAAAAUAUACGAAAAGCAAUUUUUUAUCAUCACUUAGAUUUGUAAUUUGAAAAUUAAAAAAAAAUCUUUGGGAAAUACAGAAUUUGAUUCUACCAUACGAUUUUUUGAACUUCUUCAUUACAUUACAUUUCAAACUGUAAAACUGCUUUUAGGUGUCAAGAUUGAACUAGAGACUUCAACUCUCAAGGUAUUGUCUAAAAAAAAUCUUUGCAAUAAGGAUCAAAAAUGAAAAAAAUCCAGAAUGUUCUCAGUGCCUAUUCCCAAUUGGAAAGACAAAUUCUGUAUUGGUAUCUCAAGUCAAUAAACACGACUUAAACAACAAAUUCAUUAUCUACAAACUUACAUUUGCAAUGCUCAAAAAGCUAGUCCAGGGAACCAUGCACAGUCCAAAAGAUCAUUAACGGCACUAUUUGACUUACUUUUAAGGAAAGUUAAACCAUUGACUAAAACAAGAUUGGCUUCACAACCAUUACAAACAGGACAGUUCCCAAUAAGACUAGUUCAAUAAACACAUGGAAAUAAUGCUUAGAUGAAUUACCGAGACAAGAUCUUUAGGAUUCAAUGCCAAGCUUAAACAAGAAGAAAUCUCAUUGAUGUUUUCAAGCACUACAAUCAGCCCAAAUUGGAAAUCGGGUGCAAAUAUCUAAAAAGACCUUCAAAAAAGCAUCUUUCCAAAUAUAGUAAACUUGCAAGAAAAACAUUCACAAUGAAAAUUAAUCAAACAAAAAAAACUAUAUAUAAGAAACUCAGAAGAUACUAUAUAUAAUAAAAGCCAUAUAUAAGAAUAUAUAAUAAUUCAGUACGUUCAUUCAAGAGUUUCUUCAACUACGUGCAACUCCAAGCAGAGCUCUUUGUGCCAUGAAGGGAUUUCAUGUUCUGGAUGUAUCCCAAAACAACUAUUCAUUGGCAAACACAAUUUGUAGCAGGAGUUUUACAAUCAUAAAUGGAUGGUGUAGCUUGAUUCAGUCAUGCUCAGUUUGCAGAGAUCAAACAUGCAUUAUAAUCCUUCUGCUAUCCUCCCAUUACAAACAAUGGUAUUUGAAAAAUAGAGAGCCAACAAGUUUUAGCCAUACGUGUGGUUUUUGGGUAUUAGUAUUUCACAAGUACUUGCCUGGUCCUCAUUUAACCAUGUGUAAUCAGUGGCCAUGAUGCAGCUUUCCUCUCACCACUAAAGGUAGCUUAGGAAGGCAGCUAACUCUUCGACAGCCUGCCUAGAGCUCGCUGAUGUUUGACCUGUUGCAGCACAUGUCUGAGUAUCGGAAGUCCACCUUUUUAUGUAAUUGAAGUAAACAUGCGUACAUGAACUAGGAAUCUAAUAGUAAGUAUAGGAGCUUGGGCUUCUCUCUAGCAUCAUUGUUAUGCAAAUUAAAGAACAACGAAUAAUACUUGGCCAUGAAUUACUAGGCUGGGUUGAUUGAAAUCACAUCCAACUAAGGGAAUAAAAACAUAUAUACACACCCAACAAUCAUCCAGGGUAAGAGGGGGUUCCAGGCUUACCUUUUUUACGGCAUAACUGAAUUCCAUCGGAACCGCUUCCAAUGAUUAAAGUGAAAUAAAUAGAAAACCAAAUAAGACAUGUUAGCUGAAUAAAAAGAACAAUAAAAAGAAUUUUAAAAAAAAAUCAUCGUUAUAAUUUGAGUUAUUUGAACUUCUUACUUUAUAUUUGGAAAGUUAAUGUUAGUGCUAUUUUCCUAGUAUGGAUUGGAUAUAUAAAAUAACAUUUGCAUUUGUUUUACUUUUUAAAUCGGUCGAUGCAAUUAAGAUUACUACAUGUGCAAAAGUGAUGAAACUAAAAAAAUGUGUGUGAGAGAGAGAGAGAGAACGACAUAGGGCUCAAUGUGUACAAAUUAGAGAAGUGGGAGUAUGGUCUUAAAGAUUCCCAACAUGUAUUUCAUUUUCAAAUAUGCUAUAAAUUUCUUUUAAAAAAAAUUAUAAUUAAAAAAUGUAGCAUGAGUAAUUAUAUUGGUCUUACAUGUUAAUUCAAGAAAUAAGUGAUAGGUAGUAAUUCUAGACUUUUAUAAACAUAUAUUCUAUCACUUUUUUAUGUUUAUUGCAUUUUUUACAUUCAUUUAUAUAGGAAGGGGGGGAGUGAUCAGUGAUAUAUAAAAAAUUUCAGUAUAAGAACUCCUUAUCUGUUAAUUAAAUAACCAAUAUAUUAAGGUAUAACAAAAUUGGUAAUUGAAGGGAUCCAAAGCAGAUAGGUGAAGGUAGUUACCAUGUAUAAUCCCAAAGAGGAAUUCUAGACCUUCUGAACAUGAGAAGAAGCUGGAACCUGGGAAGCCUAAUUUUUACCUCUACCAAAUUUAGCAGCUCAUCAAGUCCCGAGAACUUCGUUUUAGAAUAAAAUUGUAGUUGCAUAAGCCAUGGCAUCGUGCCUUUCUCUAUGUUCAAUUUGUUCAAUUCCCUCAACCCAAAAAGUUGAAGAACUUUGAGUUGAGGAAACCCAUUUGCAGAUACAUGCAUUUCCUUUUCAAGAUAUGACUUAGCCCUCAAUCUGAGAGUCAACAAUUUUGGCAGCUUCUCCAAAACGACCAUAGGAUCAUGAUUUAGCCUAGAUGCCUCCAAUGUCAAUUGUGUGAGAUUUGGUGAGAACUCAAUAAUUUCAGGCAAUUUUUGCAUGUGUCCCUUUAUGUCCAACUUAGAAAGAUGGAGGCAAUAGUUUAUGGCAAAGGGUGGAAUGCUGGAAUCAUCUGAUGCCUUAAGGUACAAGGAUUUAAGACUAGGUAGCUUGGCAAUGGAGUUUGAAAACAUAGCCCCUUCUACCUCACACCUUCCUUCUAAUUUCAAUUUCUCAAGACAAGUUAAGUUGCUUGAAUCGUUCUUGAUCCAUUGGUUGAAGGUUAUGCCUGAUAGAAUUUGAAGAUUUUGCAAUGUAUCGAUUUGCAGUGGAACAUCUCCCUCUUGCCUCUCCAUGUAAAGAUAUCUCAUGUUUUUAAUCUUCCAUAUCACAUUUGGCACUUGUCUAAGAUUGUUUAUCUCCAGAGUCUGCAAACUCCUCAGGUUGCCUAUAGAUGGUGGGAGCAUUUUUAGACCAGUAUGCCUUAAUCCCAAGUACCUUAAAUGAAUCAGUUCCCCAAUCAUACUGGGUAUGCAUUCAAUUUCUAAACCUUCCAAAUCUAACACUCUAAGCACUUUGAAGCAUUUGACAAUGAAAUCUAGUUGUGAUGCUCUACAAUUUUUCCCCAAAUUGAAAAAUAAGAGAGAGCGAAGAUAUGGAGUUAAAUGUUCAAUGGAAGCGCACCUCUCAAAGUCAGAAUAAAUUCUUCGGGAUUUAGAUGAAAAGAGAGAUGAACUGGUGGAGGAGGGUGGAGGAUCUGCAAUAUUAGUUCCAAUGAAGUUUUGUUCUUUUGCCUUUUCAAUAGCCAACUCUCGUACAAGGUCAUGAACCCGACAUUUCGUAACCCUUGCAUUAACACUCAUUCUCACUACUAGAAUCAAAUUUCUAUUGAUUAACUCAUUCAAGUAAACCUCAGCCACGUCUUUCAUUCUUCGGUCAUCUUGUUCUGGCACAAAACCCUCAGCAGUCCAUAAAAGGAGCAAUUUUCUCGAGGAGACCACAUAAUCUUCUGGGAAGAGGCUUAAAUGAAGAAAGCACGGUUUCAAGUAAUGGGGCAAGUCGAUGUAGCUCAGGUUUAGCAUUGCCAUUACUCCCAUUUCGCCUUCUUUAGCAAGGUAUGCACUAAUGUUAUCGUGCACCUGCUUCCAUUCUGUAUGUGACAUAUUUCUUGACAGCAAACCCCCCAGUACAACGAUGGCCAAUGGCAAACCAUUACAUUUGUCCACCAUCUCUUCCC